rnacentral:lncRNA from 1 species
CUAAAUGUGAGCUGGGUGGACAUCUCAUUAGGCAUCCUGGACAUUGGACUAUGAAAGAGGCAUAUGAAUCACCUGAGAAUCUUGUUAAAUCCAGAUUCUGAUUCAGCAUCUUGUGGCAGAGCCAGAGAUUCUGGAUUUCCAGAGCUGACGUUCACCAGACUUCUUUGA